rnacentral:rRNA from 1 species
AAAUUGAAGAGUUUGAUCAUGGCUCAGAUUGAACGCUGGCGGCAGGCCUAACACAUGCAAGUCGAGCGGAAACGACACUAACAAUCCUUCGGGUGCGUUAAUGGGCGUCGAGCGGCGGACGGGUGAGUAAUGCCUAGGAAAUUGCCUUGAUGUGGGGGAUAACCAUUGGAAACGAUGGCUAAUACCGCAUGAUGCCUACGGGCCAAAGAGGGGGACCUUCGGGCCUCUCGCGUCAAGAUAUGCCUAGGUGGGAUUAGCUAGUUGGUGAGGUAAUGGCUCACCAAGGCGACGAUCCCUAGCUGGUCUGAGAGGAUGAUCAGCCACACUGGAACUGAGACACGGUCCAGACUCCUACGGGAGGCAGCAGUGGGGAAUAUUGCACAAUGGGCGCAAGCCUGAUGCAGCCAUGCCGCGUGUGGGAAGACGGCCUUCGGGUUGUAAACCGCUUUCGCCUGUGACGAAGCGUGAGUGACGGUAAUGGGUAAAGAAGCACCGGCUAACUACGUGCCAGCAGCCGCGGUGAUACGUAGGGUGCGAGCGUUGUCCGGAUUUAUUGGGCGUAAAGGGCUCGUUGGUGGUUGAUCGCGUCGGAAGUGUAAUCUUGGGGCUUAACCCUGAGCGUGCUUGCGAUACGGGUUGACUUGAGGAAGGUAGGGGAGAAUGGAAUUCCUGGUGGAGCGGUGGAAUGCGCAGAUAUCAGGAGGAACACCAUUGCCGAAGGCGGUUCUCUGGGCCUUUCCUGAC